rnacentral:rRNA from 1 species
UACCUGGUUGAUUCUGCCAGUAGUCAUAUGCUUGUCUCAAAGAUUAAGCCAUGCAUGUCUAAGUAUAAACAACUUUGUACUGUGAAACUGCGAAUGGCUCAUUAAAUCAGUUAUAGUUUAUUUGAUGAUUCUUGCUACAUGGAUAACUGUGGUAAUUCUAGAGCUAAUACAUGCAUUCAAGCCCCGACUUCUGGAAGGGGUGUAUUUAUUAGAUAAAAACCAAUGUAUUUGGUGAAUCAUAAUAACUUCUCGGAUCGCAUGGCCUCGAGCUGGCGAUACUUCAUUCAAAUAUCUGCCCUAUCAACUUUCGAUGGUAGGAUAGAGGCCUACCAUGGUUGCAACGGGUAACGGGGAAUAAGGGUUCGAUUCCGGAGAGGGAGCCUGAGAAACGGCUACCACAUCCAAGGAAGGCAGCAGGCGCGCAAAUUACCCAAUCCCGACACGGGGAGGUAGUGACAAUACAUAACAAUAUACGGCUUUAACGUCGUAUAAUUGGAAUGAGUACAAUUUAAAUCCCUUAACGAGGAACAAUUGGAGGGCAAGUCUGGUGCCAGCAGCCGCGGUAAUUCCAGCUCCAAUAGCGUAUAUUAAAGUUGUUGCAGUUAAAAAGCUCGUAGUUGGAUUUUGGACCUGGACGGGCGGUCCGCCUCACGGCGUGUACUGUCUGGCUGGGUCUUUCCUCUUGGUGAUCUGUUGUUUCGGCAGCAGGGAACCAGGACCUUUACUUUGAAAAAAUUAGAGUGUUCAAAGCAGGCUUUACGCCGGAAUAUAUUAGCAUGGAAUAAUAAAAUAGGACGUGCGGUUCUAUUUUGUUGGUUUUUGGAAUCGCCGUAAUGAUUAAUAAGGAUAGUCGGGGGCAUUAGUACUGCCAUGUUGAAGGUGAAUUUUUGGAUUUGUGAAGGCCUAAUUUGGGAGAAGCCUUUUCCCAGGGAGUGUUUCUUUAUUCAAGAACAGGUGUGGGGUUUUAAAAAGCGUUAGGAUCCCUUGUUUUUUUACAGUAAAAUAUUCCCAGUAGGGAACCGGCCAAGUUUUUUUUCGUAUGGGUAUGGCCCCUUUUGGGAGAAUUAAAAGUUUUGGGUUUUGGGGGGGUGUAUGGUCCCAGGGGGUAAAUUUAAGAAAAUUGAGGAAGGGCCCCCCCCCGGGGGGGGACUGGGGGGUAAAAUGGGUUAAAACGGGGGAACUUUUCACGGUCCGGCAUAUGGAAGGGUUGGCGGGUUGGAGGUUUUUUUUGGUUUUAUUGGGGGGGGGGCACAGCCCGUUCUUGAUAGGGGGGAGAGUUGUUUCGGUUAAUUCGAGAAACGAAGAGAGCCUUACCCUGCUAAUUUCCCUACCGGGUUUGGGUAAGUUGUUGGCUUGUUGAGGGGAUUUUUGGGCUUUUCCACAUUGGAAGUUGUAGCCAAUACCGGUUUUGUGAUGCCUUUGGAUGUUGUGGCCGCCCGGCGCGCUCCCCUGCGGAAGCAAACGAGUCCUUUCCUGUUCGGAAGGGACGGGGUAUUCUGGUGAAAUUUGGUCGUGCGGGGGAUAGAGCAUUACAAUUAUUUCUCUUCAAGGAGGAAUUGCUAAGUAAGCGUGAUCCUUCAGCUAGGGUUGAUUACGUCCCUGCCGUUGGCACACACCGCCGGUGGUUCCUACGGAUUGAAUGGGUGAGUGACCCUUUGGGAUAAGCAGUUCCUGCCGCCAACGGCAAGUGGCCGCGGAAAUCCCCAAAAAGGGUCGUCUUGAGGAGGAGGAAAUAGUACAAAGGGGGGUUAGCGGGCGCGAAUAAAUACUCCUGUACUUAUUAUA